rnacentral:tRNA from 1 species
GGGGUUGUGGCUCAGCGGUAGAGUUUUCGCCUAGCACGUGUGAGGCCCUGGGUUCAAUCUUCAGCACCACA